UACGUAGGGGGCUAGCGUUGUCCGGAAUCAUUGGGCGUAAAGCGCGUGUAGGCGGUCCGGUAAGUCCGCUGUGAAAGUCGGGGGCUCAACCCUGGAAUGCCGGUGGAAACUGUCGAGCUAGAGUCCGGAAGAGGCGAGUGGAAUUCCUGGUGUAGCGGUGAAAUGCGCAGAUAUCAGGAGGAACACCAAUGGCGAAGGCAGCUCGCUGGGACGGGACUGACGCUGAGACGCGAAAGCGUGGGGAGCAAACAGG
rnacentral:rRNA from 1 species